GCAGACACAUUCCAGCCAAUCAGCAGCAGACCCUCCCUCCCAGACCCUCCCACCUCCUGGACAGCUCACUAAGAAUGCAGCUUCAAAUGGAUGCUGUCCAGGAGGUGGGAGGGUCUGGGAGGGAGGGUCUGGUGCUGAUUGGCUGGAAUGUGUCUG
rnacentral:miRNA from 1 species